GCACCGGCUAACUACGUGCCAGCAGCCGCGGUAAUACGUAGGGUGCAAGCGUUGUUCGGAAUCACUGGGCGUAAAGAGAGCGUAGGCGGGAUUGUAAGUUAGAAGUUUAAUACAUGGGCUCAACCCGUGGUCUGCUUUUAAUACUGCGAUUCUUGAGUAUGGGAGAGGGCGAUGGAAUUCCAGGUGUAGCGGUGGAAUGCGUAGAUAUCUGGAAGAACACCAGUAGCGAAGGCGGUCGCCUGGCCCAAUACUGACGCUGAGGCUCGAAAGCUGGGGGAGCAAACAGGAUUAGAUACCCUGGUAGUCCCAGCCGUAAACGAUGGACACUAGUUGCCGGGAGAGUCAAUCCUUCGGUGACGAAGCUAACGCAUUAAGUGUCCCGCCUGGGGAGUACGCCCGCAAGGGUGAAACUCAAAGGAAUUGACGGGGGCCCGCACAAGCGGUGGAGCAUGUGGUUUAAUUCGAUGCAACGCGAAGAACCUUACCAGGUCUUGACAUCUGUAGAACCUUUAGGAAACUAGAGGGUGCCUUCGGGAGCUACAAGACAGGUGGUGCAUGGUUGUCGUCAGCUCGUGUCGUGAGAUGUUGGGUUAAGUCCCGCAACGAGCGCAACCCUCGCCCUUAGUUGCCAUCAUUCAGUUGGGCACUCUAAGGGGACUGCCGGUGAUAAGCCGAGAGGAAGGUGGGGAUGACGUCAAGUCCUCAUGGCCCUUACGGGCUGGGCUACACACGUGCUACAAUGGUGGUGACAGUGGGCAGCGAGACCGCGAGGUCGAGCUAAUCUCCAAAAGCCAUCUCAGUUCGGAUUGCACUCUGCAACUCGAGUGCAUGAAGUUGGAAUCGCUAGUAAUCGCGGAUCAGCAUGCCGCGGUGAAUACGUUCCCGGGCCUUGUACACACCGCCCGUCAAGCCAUGAAAGAUGGAGAUACCCGAAGUCGUCAGCCAAACCUGCAAAGGAUGGUGACGCCGAAGGUAAAGCCAUUGAUUGGGGCUAAGUCGUAACAAGGUAGCUGUAUCGGAAGGUGCGGCUG
rnacentral:rRNA from 1 species